GAGCAAUUUACCCGCUGUACAGAUUAUUGAAAUUAGGAGAGGCGUGGUCAGCUGUGCUCAGAUAUGGGGCAAUGAGGAAGCUGUGGAACUUGACUUAGGCCAAGCCGCAAAAAGAGUGAUAUGUAUGCACAGGAGUUCUUUCCCUAUGACGACCUCUACAACCACUAAAAGCAUUACAAUCUCCUCAACAGCUCGGAAAACAACCUCUGAAUCUAUGACAUCUUCUGUGUAUGGUCCUGUAUCUACAGACUCCACAUUCAGAUCCUCAAAGCAUGCAGAUUCCACAUUCAGUUUCUUAAAAUCUGAUGAUUCGACAACAGACAUGGUAUAACUUUAAGAAGAUACCCCGCCAGGAACAGACGUCAACCCAUUAGAUUGCAAUAUAGUUAAAGUAGAAUACUGAGCUUUUUAUACAUGGGAAUGGAGAAAAACUUUAAAUUGAUUAUAACAACAACAUCUGUCUGUUUAUUUGAAACGUUAUAAAUUAUUUACAGCUUGGAAGUAUUAUAGCAUUCUCAUUUUGAAUAUUGUUCAUCUUUUUGAAUGUGUUAGG